rnacentral:lncRNA from 1 species
UAUAACAGAGAUAAGGAUUAGUAUGCCUAAAAGUUUGAUGGAACAAGAUCAAAAUUUCAAGGAUUUUUAUAACAAGUCAAGCUCUAUCUUUCCAAUACUCUGAUGGAUUUAUUCAAGUCAGAUUCAUAGAUGCACUUCUAUCAAGAAGUGCUCUUUUUUAAUUUGUAUCUUUAAUAAAAAAAGAUUUGUGACUCUUUUAUGAUUUAAAUUUAUUAUUAGAAGUAUUUAUGGCUACAUUUAGAAAAAGUGAUAAAAAAGACCAGUACAGACUAAAGUCUUAUCUUAGCUUAUUUUAUAGAUGAAGACUUUGUCAAAAAAUAAGAUAUAUGCUUAGUUAAGAAAAUCAAAUUUGUGCAUGUAGAGGUAAUAGAUGG